rnacentral:lncRNA from 1 species
GCCUUAUAGUGGUGUUAUCUUUUAACACUCUAUAUUUCUUUUCAGGUUGGAAUCUAAGAUCUAAAUAUUCAAGGGAUUUUAAAGAAGCUAUUUUUGUUAUCCUAAGUGAUUCAAAUUAAGGUACUUUUUACUUAGCUUUGUUUGAUAUUUCAAUCUACUAUUAGUAUAAGUUAUGUCUAAUUCUACUUCUUGUAUAUUUUCUAUCAACCUAGACUGUUCAUUAAUUAAUGUUUUUUUAUAAUAUUUAGAGGUUAUAGUAAUUAUUUCAUCUGUUUCUUUAAAGUUUAGAAUAUCUAUUUCUAGGUUUCUUAUUUUUUUAUUUAACAACUCUAGUCUUUCUUCAAAUUGUUUCCGAAUUUUUACAAGUUGAUAUUUAUAAAUAAAUUCUCUAUAAUAUUGUCGUUGAAUUUCUCUAAUAUAUUCAAUAUAUCUUAUAGGCAUUUAUUAUCCUAGUGGUAUUUGAUCUGCUUGUUGUUUAUAUAAAUUUGUUCUCCAGAAACAGUUCUCUAAUCUUACUUUAUUAAAUUUUAAAUCUUCUUUAAAGUGUGUUAAUAAUGUUUUAUAGUAUUUUAUGUCUAAUUCGUCUAGGUUUUCUUGAGUCAAUUUAUUUCUAAUUAUUUUUAUAUUUUCUUUUAAUGCUCUUUCUAUCUUUAUUAAUCCAGCUUUAAUACCAGAUUUUCUUCUAUCCACUUAUUUAUUUUUCUUAGUCUUUGAAAAAUAGGUAGGGCUUGCAUAUAUUAUCCUAAUUAAUAAGCCCGUGCUAAUACGUUUUCUAAGACACUUUAUACCUAAAUUAUUGUUUUCUAAAUCUCUAUCACAAACACUUAAUUUCCAAUUUAAGACGCUUACUAAUAUUUCACACACUGAUCUAGAUGUAUUAUAUAUUUUAUAUAAUCUAUUUGUUUCUAUUACCCUUUUUUUACUUUCUUCUGAAUUAUAUUUUCUAGCAAUAAUAUUAUCUCUUUUUCUCUCUCUAUAUAUGUAUGUAUGUAUAGGUAUACACAAAAUAAGGUACAACCUACCUUAAUAGCAAGGCAACACUGACCUGGAGUGUAGCUAAAGCAUAUCCAUGAUCCAAGGCCUACAAAUCUACAAUAUAAAACAAAUAAGGGAGAAACAUAAAACUAAAUGAAAAUCCACCAGAGAUUACUCAUCUUAUAGAAAUUGAAUCAGCUUCCCUCUUCUCUCUCUAGAAUGUGAUCCUUCUUUAGCGAUUAUUGAACAUGGAAAACAGAUCUAAGGUUAGAGGGAAGGGCAACAAGGAUUCAUGGUAAUAAGAACUAUAAAUGGUAAAUUUGGGGUGCACAAUAUGGGGACUCCAAGAAGAUUAAAAGUGUCACAUUUCUACAGGGGUUACUUCUGCUUGACAUCCCAAAGAGAUCUGUGGAACCUCAAUCAUUUGGGACUGCACACACAUCAUUGGAAAUAGGAGUGAUCUUUGGAUAGUCUAGCUAGGCAGACAUGUUAGAGAAAGCGGCAGGAUAAUGACCUGGUAAAUCUCAAACCCUAAGCCCUAAAUAAACUGUCUAAGCUACAUUAUGGAGUAACAUAGUGGGAAAACAACACGGAUAAGGUGUUAGACCUUACAAUAAAGGAAAAAACUAAUAUGUAUAUUAAAUUCAAAUUAGAGGAUGUUAGUAAGGGAAUUGAGUACUAUUCAAUAGUGAUGGUAUGCUAUGUAAUAGGGUCUAACCUUCUGCAAACUUUAAUAGAGGGAUAUUUUAGUAAAAUCUAAAAGGUAAGGGGAAUAAAUAAAAUUGUGCAAGUUAAUACAAGGGAGUUUUUGGUGAGAUUUCACCAAGGUAUUGACAGAGAAAAAGUGUUGAAUACUGUUUGAUAGAAAGCCAAUUAUGGUAAAGCCCUGGGCACCUUGCACAAAAUUACUAAGGAGAAGAUGGACACGAUCCUAUUUGAGUUCAACUAAUAGUGUUUUAUGUGAAAUAUUAGGCAAAAGCGCACUGACAAAGGUUACUAGUCUAGUGGGUAACCCCAUUAGAGCUUAUAAACCUACAAUAAGUAAAUAUAGAAUAACAUUUGCUAGACUUCUUGUUGAUGUGCCUCUAUAAAAAGAGCAUCCAAGUGUUGUGAUGUUUGAGAAUAAAUAUGGUCAGAUUGUAGAGUAGAAGGUGAAGUAUGAUUGGAAGCUAGUAUUAUGUACCAAAUUUAAAAAUUUUGGGGUGUAGAAGGGUGAUAAAAGAGGUAGGAAAAGGGGAAUAAUAGGCUAGAGUAGAAAGUAUAAGGCAAUACAGUACUGAUAUGCACUUGGGUAAAACAAAGCAAGGAUAAAAGAAAAAGGCUAGAAAAUUGCUAAGCCAUAUGCUACCAAAUACAAGGGAAUGAGACAAUUCAUGAAUCAUCAUCAGGUCACUACAAGCACACUCAAUUCCUUUGAGGGGUUGUCACGGGAAGAAAUUAAUGAGAUAUAACAAGAUGAUGAACCUCCUAGCCCAAAGUAAGAAAGAGAUUGCACUAGCCAUGGAAAAGGAAGGGGAGAGGAUCCACCUCUUCCCCAUUGAUAAAAUGAAUUUCUGGAAUACCAGGAGGUUGAACAAGGUUGAUAAGAAGAAAUGCACUUAUUUCUGUGUAAUUCUCAGAUCAGUUUAUUUUGCCUCUUGAAACUAGGGUGAAGAGAGCUAAAGCUCAAAAUGUAUCUCUUUAACUUUGUAACAAUUGGUCCUUUGCAACAAAUUUAUCAGUAACCCUAGUUUAUCUAUAAACCAAAUAGAUUUGAUGUAAAUAUCAAAAUGAUAACUACACAAAUAAUUAUUGUGGGAUAAGUUUUAGAGGGAUGGGGCAACAAAUAGAAAUAACUUUAUGUAUGGUUUUAAUGAUGCAUCUUUAAGGAGGAACUAUGGGAGUACAUAACAUCAUAUUAUCCAUGGCCCAUGGGCAGUAGUAGGAGAUUAUAAUUGUGUGUCGAACUGUGAUGAACAAAUAGAAGACUUGUCAGUGUUGUGGAAAUAGACUUUAAAACUUAUGUUUCUAUAUAUGGGAUAAAAGACCUGAAGUCUACGAGUUGCUUCUACACCUGGACAAACAAAUAAUAGGGGGAUACUAAGGAAGUGAGUAAAAUAAACAAGGUAUUGGUUAACCAUGAAUGACAAGUAUAACUUCCAGUAUUUGAAGUGCAUUUUAUUCUAAAAGGAUUAGAUGAUCAUAGUCGAACAAUAAUCUAUUGGGAAGAGAAUUCAUCAACUUUACAGAAACCAUUCAAUUACUUCACAUGUGGAGCUUGUCUCCAAUAUUUGAGAAUAAGGUGGUGGAAAUUUGGAAAGUUCCUACAUUGGGAGGGCUCAUUUAUCAAAUUAUGGUAAAGCUAAGUAGUCUAAAAGAGUUCUAAUGGGCUGAAUAGAGACAUAUUUAACAAUAUAGAACUUCAAACCAUGAAGACAGAGUAAUAAUUGUAUCAAUACCAAGCUAAGCUUCAACAUGAUCCCAAGAAUACACGUGGAUACUGGAAGAAGAAACACUAACAAGUAAACUCAAGAGUGGAAGCUAGCAAGAGACAAGUUCUUACGACUGAAGUGUAAGAUUCAGUAGUUAAAAGAGGGAGACCUUAACACAAGGCUCUAUCAUAGAUACUUGAUAGCUAGAUAAAAUGCCAAUAGGAUAUUCAUAGUUAAUGGUAAAACGGGCAUGACACAAACAAAAUGGAGGACAUUGUUAAUUCUUUCACUAAAUUCUACACAGAGCUGUUAGGGAUCAAAGAACAGAGAACUCCUUCCAACCAGGAAAUUAUCAACCAAGAAACUUAGGUGAUAACAGCCAAAGUGAAAUAUUACAAUAGGAUUUUCAAUAAUGACGGCGAAGAGGGCAUUUUGGGCAAUUGAUGUGGACAAGACUCCUGUCUCGAAUGGAUAUGGGAUUCAGUUCUUUAAGGAUGCAUGGGAAAUAGUUGGAUAAAAUAUAACAAAAAAGGUGUUGGACUUCUUUGACAUAGGCAGUAUGUUAAGGGGACUCAACAGCAUAAUAAUCACACUUAUACCAAAGAGUUUACAUGUUGCUGAAGUUGGGGAUUAUAGACCAAUCUCCUAUUGUAGCAUAGUUCAAAAAGUGAUUUCAAAAAUGUUAUGCACUAGACUCAAAAAGUGUUCUACUAGAUAUCAUAUCUCCCAACCAAUGUGCUUUUGUAGCUGGUAGAUCCAUUUUCUAAAAUAUACUAAUUUUCCCAAACUUGGUUCGACUAUAUGACAUGAAAUCUACCCACUAAAAGUUUUUUUAUCAAGAUCGAUCUCAAGGAGGAGUAUGAUCUUGUUGAGUGGGAAUUUGUCAAGGAGAUAUAUAUGGGUUCAAGUUUCCUCCUAAGUUUAUUAAGUGGGUUAUGAAGUGUGUGUCUACACCACAAUACUUAAUUGCAAUAAAUAGAGGUAUGUAUGGGAACAUUUUGGGCCAAAAAGGAUUGAGGUAAGGGGAUUCAAUAUCACCCCUCAUCUUUGUAUUGUGUAUGGAAUAUUUCACAAGGUUGAUGCGCUGGAUUAUAAAGCAACAAUGGUUUAGCUAUCUCACCAAUUGUAGAAGCCUAUAUCUAAAUCAUUUGUGCUUUGCUGAGACAUUCUCAUCUUCAGUAUAGGGGAUAUUAGAUCAGUAACUCUAAUGCUUUAGGGGUGACCUCUUUUUCCCACUCACCAGAUUGAUAACAAAUGCCUCGAAGUCAAGUAUUUUCUCAGUUAAAAUGUACAAAAGAGACUUAGAAGAUCUAUAUGAAUUAACAAGGUAUGAAAAAGAAGAAUUGCCAUUUUGACAUUUGGGAGUCCCUUAUCUAGCAAAGAAGUUGUCUGAAGUAGAUUGCAAGAUGUUGGUUGAUAAACUAACAAGCAGAGUCUAGGACUUGGGGAUAGAAGCACUUACCAUAUGCAGGAGGUGUACAGUUAAUUAACUCAGUUCUACUAUAAAUAUAUGCAUAUUGGUUGUCUAUUUUGAUACUCUCAAAGGUAGUGAUAAAAUAGAUAAAAGUUGUACGCAGAAAUUUUCUGUGGACUGGACAACUCCAUAAUAAUAAGUCACCACUGAUUGCAUAGGAUCUUGUUUGUCGACCAAAACAAGAAGGUGGGCUAGUAAUUGAAUAGGAGAUAGUUUGGAAUGAAGCGGUUGUGGUGAAAUAUGUAAGGAAUGUUUCUAGUAAGGCAGAAAAAAUAUGGGCGAAAUGGGUGAAUCAAAGUUACUUGGAGGGUCAAGCUUGGUGGUAAUAUGUAGCACCAAAUAAUUCAACUUGGUACUAGAAGAAAAUUUGUAGACUAAAAAUAUUUACAAUCUGGUUAUGUACAAAAUGGAUGGCAAAGUUAAAACAUGGACAUAAAUUGUCAAGAGUGGGAAUAUAUGGAGAAAAAACACUAGUGAGGAUUGGCAGAUCUUUUAAGGUGUUUACAAAAUGGCUUGUCUUCCAAAACAUUGUUUUAUUAGCUAGCUCAAGAUUCAAAGGAGACUAAUGACCAAACAUAGAAUGCUGAAAAUGAGAGUGACAAUAGAUGAUAACUGCCUACUAUGUGGGGAUCAGGCAGAACGUGUUAAUCACCUAUUCUUCCAAAGUAAAUUCUCACAAGUUUGCAUUAGAAAGGUGUUAGAGUGGCUGCAAAUCACAUCAAGAAAUCAAGAAAUCAAUGGGUGGACUUAAAUAGAAAACAAAGCGAGAGGAAAGGUAAGUAGAACUUCUUACUGCGCAGUCACAACUUCUAAUAUAUAUAACGUGUAGAAGGCCAUAAAUGAGGCAUUAUGGAACGUGAAGGUGUUAAUACCAGAAGUUAUAUGUAAGAGGAUAUAUGAGGAUUGAAAAUCAUAGAAAUAAUUAACAAGAAAAGGAGAUGUAGAGAUAGGGUAUGGAUAGAGCAAUUUAUUAAAAGAUCAAUCAUGUAAGUAGUGCGGGAUAGGUUUGGAGCAAUUGCUCAGUUUGGUGUGUGAAUAAGAAUAUUUUGGGUUGUGACCAAAAGGAACUCUCACCUUAUCGUGAGAUACCACCCCAAAACCCAUACUAAGGACCCUACCAUAAUUCUAGCACUAUGGUAAGCAUAAUAGGAUUCCUAACCUAAUGCUCACACUAUAGUAACAUCUUAAUCUUAGGCUCAUGUAACAUUCUACUCUAAGAUCCCUGAAGUAGACUAAUAAUAUCAUAAAAUAUCCUUAGCCUAUCCUACGAAUCCCUUAUACCACAUGAAAUUCAUCAAAUAAACUAUCUCAUAGAGCUUAGUCUAAAAGAAAGUAGACCACGGCCUACCUUAAAACCAAACGUCCAUCUCGUACUAACUUUGAACUACCUUUCCCCUCCAUUCGACCUCAAAAACCUAUGCACUAUUAAAAAUAUAAUCUAUAUGUCAAGAUGAGAAAAACAAAACCUAUUUUAUAAAUAUAAAAAUUGAGCCAAAAUCAGGUCAAAAAUUACCCUCGAGCCCAACCAAAAAAAAUUAGAAAUUGGACCCACAACUACCUUCCCCGUAGGAUAAAAAAUGAAUGCUAAAAAAUUGAGCAAGAUCGAAGCUCAAAGUUGGGCUCAAAAUAGCCCUCAAAGCCCAAAGAAAUUAAUACCCCAAACUAGGAAUCUAAUGAAAUUAUGGGACAAAUUUCAAUGAGAAAUAAGUAGAGAAUCGAUCAUGGGAUGUAGAGUUUUCAUACCCUUAGAUUAAUCUAAUGAAACCCCCACCCACCCACCUACACAAAAUUAACUCCUUUUAGAUCACUUCUAGGGCCAAGGUAUGAAAAUAAUGGUGGAAAGAUGAAGAAGAGAGACAUUUAUAUAUUUUACGAGAUCCUUCAUUGUGAUAGAGGGAGUCAUAUCAUGAAUGCGAUCUGACCCUAAAACAACUCUUAUGAUCAUGGCCAGCUCAUCUCGAAUGUGAAGAAAAAAUCUAGCCAGUUUAACCUAACCUUUUUUGUGAAUGCAAGGGUAAGAUUACUAACAUGAUAGUCAAGAACUUAACCCUUCGCGGAUGCAAAGGGCAAUUUUGUGUUGCACCAGUUGUUGCAAUAUUAGCUAAAAUAGAGUCUCAAAAUGAUUUUGAAUAGGUGUUUGAGAUUUAUUUGGAUCCCCAUAGGUACUUCAGAUUCAUUGAAACCCCAUGAACAUAAACUAAAUAUACAACCGUAUUGAAAAUGGCAUGUCAAACUCAAUGAAAUUGAUAAAAUUUCCAAUGGAGGUUGUUUUAAUGAAAUGAGUUGCAUUGAGAUCCAACCAAGAUUUUCUUUGUAUGGAUCCACAUAUAAGUCCAAAGAAUGUUGUCCUGAGUUCUUGAUUCUAGAAAUUUGAUCCAGGCAUUGACUCCCACAAGUAAAGAAAAUUUAUCAAAACACAUUCUCUCCUCUAUGGCUUUCACUCAAUCAUCCAGACAACAGUCAACUACAUCUGUUUUGAUCAAAUAAGGCACAUGCAAAUGCUCCAUCAUCCACAGCUGCAAUAUCAGAUUACUCCCCUUAAAAAAUUGUAUCCCUCCUUUUACUUCAAUCAAAGCCUUAUAUAUUUCUGUUAAGAUUAUUGCUAUAAUGGUAACCUUCUGUCUUUUAUUAAAUAAAUCCAUCACCACUGAUUGUAAAUAAGUAUUGAUGCACUUCUCAUCUAACGGGAACACUAAUAGACCCAACAGAGCCAGACAGAAAACCUCGAGAUGAUGUUGUUCCCACAUCUUCUUGGUAGUACAAGAUUCAUCCCAAAAGUAGUCAAAACAUUCUAAAGACCCAAAUCGAGCAAACAAAUAGUUAAAGGAAAUCCAUGAUUAUUUAAGACGCCCCAGCUAGUUGUUCUCUUUCAAUCCACAAACUCGAAGAAAUCUCUUGCCAGAAUGAUCUCGGGCUAAAAUCAUCCGUUGAUUAAUAUAAGACAAUUGAAACAAACGAGAUAUUUUUGCCAGGGUAGGGGUUAAUUCACAACUUCCGAACCUAAACACUAUUUGGAUCCCAAAAGUUCAGCACAGACUCUAUUAGAUCUGGGCGGGGUGUUAUAUCUAGGAGUGCUACAAGAUUGCCUAAAACUUUCCUUAAUUCGUAUUUUUCAAAGUAGUGGAACGUUCCUCACCACUUGAUUAACUUUUUGGGCACCUUGACAACCAUCAAGACUAUAGACUUUGUGGACAGAUCCAUCCUGUAAUAACAUAUAGGACAUUAACUCAAACAUUCAAUAAGACAGGAAAAGAUUCUCAACCCUUGGGAUUUUGACGCGGACUUGUGUCGAAGGGACAUACCACUUUAUAACUCAAAUUCAUCGAAUGGUACAGCUAAGAGAAAUCAGCCUACUUGGCUAGAACCAGCUAACGACAUUGGACAGGAGACAGACCCUAGGCUAGGACUAAAACAAGGACCAAAACAAAAGAUUAUCGGAUCCACCGAGGGUUGCCUACGUAUCCUACCCCGAAUGACGAGAAUCAGGUAUGCGUAGUUCAUCCAGAUUAGACAAUUGAGGAUUAAACAACAAACUAAACCUUGACUUAAGAGACACGACUACAACGAUGAAAAUAAUUUUUUUGGGGGGGUUUUCAAUUUGACACUUCAUAUAAAACUGACACCAACAACUAUGAAAGAAAAAUCUUUUUGGUAUUUUUGUUAUAAGAGAUGUACAAAACUCCUACCAUCUUUGAUUUUCUUUUACAAAAAGCUCCUAUUAAGGAAGAAUCUUUUUUGAAAAUUUUAAAUUAUGAAUGCUUACUAAAGAAACAAAAGGAAAAUUAUUUUGAUGUUUUUGUUUUUGACAAAUGAGUGCAAAAGGUAAAAAAAAAUAUUUUUGAAUUUUUGUUAAUUUGAGAAGAUAAAUGCAAAAGGUAAAAAAUCUUUUUGAAUUUUUGGGUUGUGAAAAAACAAAAGCCAUAAAGAACUCUAAAAAUAAACUACGAAACUCUUUUUUGAUUCACCUUUUAUUCUUCAUUUUGUUCUUUUUUUUUUUUUUGAAUUGUUCUAGCCUAAACACAUAUUUUUCCCCAAAUCAGUCCGUCAAAUGACCUCGUUACCCUCAAAGAUGCAACAUUAGCACGUAGGGAUGCUUUAGGGGUGAGUCUUCUACAAAGGACCAAGUGAGUCCCGCUAGGUCUCAAUAUGAUGCAGAUAAGAUGACCUAAAGGCUGACCUACACCGGGGUCCACUAACAAGGUCAUUUAGGGUAGCAUAUGGUUGAUAGUGGCUGUUUUGCUUUCCACCUACUCCAUACAUCUGUUGGUUCUCCCUUCUAAAAUAAGGGUUACUCAACUAGAGUUCGUGUACACGACGUGUACUCCAGGACUUGUUGCAGAAAAAAUUGACUCAGAUUAUGCAAAUGAUGCUAGAUAUAAAGCGGUAACACAUAAAAGAAAACUGCAAACAUGUAGCACGUAGGCACUCAACAAUGAUAAAAUAAUAACACAAACACUAACACAAACAAUGUUUAUACAUCCACAAUGUCAAACUAAGCUGAUACAACUCAAAAAAAUAAGCUCGAAUUCUGAAAAAUCCCCAGUUGAGUCGUCAGAGUUGUCACACCCUUUUUUAACCAAAAAGAUUAGAUUCUUGAUUUUUAGGUUCAAAAAGGGGUUUUAUUCUUAAAGUGACAAAAAUAAAGAUUUGUUUCGAAAAGGAUUAAUUUUACAAUUAACUCAGAGUCGACACCUGGCAUAAUCGGGUGUGCCAAGUGACCCUUAGAAAUCCCUUUUUCAAAAUAAUUUUUUUUACUCUUUAAAACUGUUGAUCGAGGGGGAGGUGUUAGGCACCCCUCGAUCCCAUGAUUCGACCACGGUUGCUCCAUAGAGUGUAUCGGCUAGUAUGAUGCUACAAAAUGUAUAAAUCAGCAAAAACACAUAAUAAACAAACAAAACACCCAAACAAUUAAAAAUCCAAAAUAGUGCCCAGUUUGAAUUAUACAGUACCAAAAAAUAGAAAAAUGUGAAAAUGUAUACCUAUCCUAAACUAAUCCUAGACUAAGCUCCACCCGACAUUCCGAGCCUUGAUUGCGCGCCAUCUUCAAGUAUAACUUUCUCGGGGAAUUUCCUGGAUAAAACAAUACAAAUACCCCUGGGCAUUUCCCGAAUAAAAUAAUACAAAUACCUCGAGGCAUUCCCAUGCUAAAUGAAUACGUUUUCCAAAUGCGAGAAAGAUAAACCAUUUCACAAACAUGUCAAAUCCUCCACUAAUUCACAAUUCCUAAAUUUGCCUUUCCAAGCCUAAGAUUUGUCUAUUGAAUUUUUUGGCCUACAACAUGGUACUACCGAACUCAACAACAUUCAUCAAUGAAUCAAAAGAAUCAACAUUCACUUUAUUCGAUUCUUAAUUCCUCCCCCUUAAUUCCCUUUUAAUUCUUAAAUUGCCGAUUUCAAUUCUCAAACGAGAUAUCAUUUCAUCAUACAACACAUAACCAACAGAACCAACAAUAAAUCAACACCAAAACAACUAUUCACCACCAACAGGGAUCAAACAACACAUAAACGUUCAAUUGAUAACACCGAAUAUCAUAAACAAGAAAAUAAAAGAGUAGAUAUUAGAAAUGAACCUCAAUUUGGAGAACGUUGCUUGAUAAAAUAAAGAAAUCCACUUUCGAAAACCUGAACUCAAACCUCUCAACGGACCAACUCCAAUGGAAUAAUCUCGAAAUCCAAUAUGAAAGAAAUUCGCAUAAAUAAAUUAAGCAACCCAAAAUAAAAUUAAGAGAAUCGAAGACCCGUGUGAUGAUUUACGUGUGUAUUGUGCAUACGUGAUAUCUAUUUUCUAGUGAAUUCUCUUUUGUAUAUUAUGAGUGUUGUGAAUAUAUGAUUUUUCGGUGAGGUGUGUGUGUUUUUUAGUGAAUAAGCAGAAAAAUGAAGGUCUGUGUACGUGUGUGCAUAGUGUUUCCAGUGUAUAUGUGCGUGUAUAUAUGGUUUUGUAUGUGUAGUCUUUUUUUUGUUCUUUUCAAUAAAGUCUUGUGUGUGUUGUUUUGUUUUUAUUUUAGAGAUAUGAGUGGGUGUGUAUAUUAUUGUUAAUGUGAGAGUUGUCCAUGAAUGUGAGAGUGUGUAUUGUCUUGUGUUGACCAAAAAAAAUAGAAGGUGCACGUGGGUUUGUAGAGGGUUGGUGGGAGUGGUUGGAUUAGGUGGGGGGUAGGGGAGAUAGGUAGGGGUAGGAGAUAGGUAGGGAGUAGGGUACGUAAAUGAGUAAAAAUUAUUUUUGAGAGCGACAAAAUUAUGUAUCUACAAGUAGAGGAGUAAGAAAGUAAAGUUCAAGGAAGAUCCUUGUACUAAAGGAUUAAUGGAGGCAUCAUGGAGGUUUCUUGGGAGACUUAGCAGGUCAUGUAGACCCAGUAUCCUCACCUUUUCAAGUCGUUAGGCUCAUUCUAUUUUUGGAUGUUUGAGGGUAAAAUUCUCUUAGUAGUGGAUUUUGUAUAAUUUUUAGAAAUUUUCAUCUGUUUUCCUUGUUUUGAGCUUUCUUGCAAUUGCUACGAGGUAUUUAUGACUUAUCGGUAUAGAUGGUUUGGUUCCCGACAAUUCAUUUGAAUUUUAAGACAAAUUCCCCAUUUUAGAGCUUUUAAAGUUAAGUUUGACUUCGGUCAAAUCUUCUUGUAAAAAGCCUCAGAUGAGAAUUAUGAUAUCGUAGAUUUUAGGCUUAAGGAACCUUUGGUUCAGGUCUUGAGGCUUUUAGUAUCAAUUUGGAUUAUUGGUUGGAUUUUAGUGAAAAUUGAAAGAAUAAGCUUAGUUUUGAUAGGACUUGACUGCACCAGACCUUACAGGCUAAAAAGGUGAUGCGUCAGUUGGGUAGUGUAAUACCCCGAACUUUCUUUAAGUCAAUCUAGUCACCAUAAGAGUUAUUGAUGACUUUUGAAAUGAUCAAUAUUCAAAUCAUAUAGAAUUUCUCCAAUUUUGACUUUUUAUCAUGUGGGAAAUUGAAUUAGCUUUCCAACGAUACCAAUUUCAUCAAAAUCCAAUAACGGGGUAGAAACUUAUGUCUGUUUUUUACUGAAAGCAGUCAAAACUGCCCAGGUGCGACUGUGAGGGUCGAAGGAUCGUCGAGCUAGCAAUGGACCAUUGCCUAAGCCAUCACAACGGAGGUAGUGAGACCACUUUCUGCCUAAGGGAGAUGGCUCAAGCCGACAGAUCAUCGAGCUAGCGAUGGACCGUCGACUAAGCCGUCGCAGUAGAGGUAGUGAACCCCUAUUCUACCCAGGUACGACGGUCAGGACUGACGGACCGUCGCACCCACCAUCGCAUAGUUCGUUCAGUUAUUUUAAAGUCAUUUUUAAAAGGGUAUUUGGGUCUUUUCCACCUAUUUUAACCUCUAAUUAUAUCAGAUCAAGGCUCAUAAGUUCAUUAUCCAUCUACAACAUCAAAUUAGGGUUUUCUCUCAAAGAUAAUCCCCAAGAACAAGAUCCAAAUCCUUCUUCAAGAAACUAAGAAAUUCAAGUUUUUUAAGUCUAAGAAUUUUAAGAAACUCACAACCUAGGUAUGUCAUGUCUUGAUUCAUGGGUCUCUUUCAUCCAUGAAGCUCAAGAAUCUCUUUUCAAAAUACAAAAUUUGUGUAAUUAUGAAUGUUCGUGAUUUAAAUAGAAUUGAAAUUUCAUGUUCAUGAUGUUGUGGGGUUUUGAUUCAGGUUUUAAAUUACAUUCUUCCAAUGAUUGACCCUAGUAUAUGAAGAUUUGCAUAAUAACCAUGAUAAACCCCUUCAAUUUACAAUUUGAUUGAUGUAUCCAGGAUUAUUAGAUGUGUUGAUGAUUGUAUAACCAAAGCAUGCUCCCCAUGUGUUUGAUUAAAUGCCUAUGUGAAGGAAAAGUGUCAUACUAGUAUAAUAAUAUGAAAUCCCCAUUCAUGUACAAGUUCAUGCAUGUCAAGUGUUUGAUGGAAUGUCUUCGUCAAUAAGUUAUGGAUAUAUGUGUGGCUAUUGUGGUGCUUUAGAACUUGUACUUCAUGAAUUCUCCAACAUAUCAUACUAUGGAUUGUUGAUGUGAUCAUGUAUUCAAGAAAGUCAUGCUUUGUCAGUUUCUUCCCAUCGAGCCUUGGGGGUACUUGUACCUGAAAAUUUAGCUGCGUGCCUAGAAUCAGUGUCAUGUUUUCAAGAUACUCUCAGUCAAGCUAUGAUCCAUAGAAUUCAGUCAAUCUCAUGACUCAUGAAAACUCAGUAAUCUCAGUAGUAUUCCGUCAGUCAACGGAACUUAAUUAACUCAGUUCAGUUAAUCAUGUUCAGUUUCUAUCUAGAUGGGAGUAGAAAUUAGCACCGAGUGAACCUAAGGAUAGGAAUCCACCUGCUAUAUGAGGGUGUGAUUCUUAGAAGCAAUCCUUGUGUUCUAGAACUACGUAGCCAGCAUAGGUUGAGACAUCAUAGCUUGUUAUAUGAGGGUAGAUGAGGUGGCUUAACUUGUUAUAUAAGGGUUCCCACCAUUCUUACUAGAGUCACCUUUUAUAUGAGGGUUACUCACAGAUUGUCUUUACAAGUGUCGCGGUAUUGACACCCUUCCAAUUGGGGUUACAGAUUAGAACCCAACUCAGCUAUAUUGCAUAUUUAGGGCAUGUCGGUUAGAUGACUACUUCCCAUAGUUUCAGUUAUAGAAUCUGGACUGUUAGAUACAGUCAUUUAGUCUCAGUAAUAGAACUAAGAUAGUUCUUUAGAAUUUCAGGACUGUUAGAUACAGUCAACUCAGAAUAGCAUGGAACUCAGCUAGUUCCAUCAAAAACUAGACUGUCGUAUACAGUUGCUCAGUAUUAGUUAUAUCAGUUAUACAGUUACCAGUAUCUCAUAUUAUCAGUACUCAGGCUCAGCAAUCAUGUUAUCACGAACUUAGUUACGGUUAUUAUGUAUUCAUCUAUGUAUUCUCACAUUCAUGUUAUUCGGUCAGUUAGUAUAGUUCAUACAUAUGAAGCCUUUGCAUUUAGCCUACCUCACAUGCAUACCAGUGCAUUCAAACGUGCUGACACAUUUGUGCUAUGGUGUCUUAUACCAUAGGUUCAGAAGCACGAGCUCCAGAGCAUCAGUAGCAUUCCAGUCUCAGCAGUCAGAGUUAGCAGUAAGUCCUUUUUCUUUGAGGACAUGACCAUUACUUUAUUAUUUCAUUAAUUAAUUUAUUUCAGUAGUUGGAGUUAGUUGGGGACAUGUCCCAUCAACUCCUUAUUUAGAUAGUUUAGAGACUUUUAGACUAGCAUGUUCAGACAGUUAUUUCAGUUGUUUUGGUAUUGAUAUACCAUAUCCUCAGAUAUUAUGUUUUAUUAGAUUUUUGAACCUUAUGGCCUUUCAGCCUUUAUUUCUAUAUUUAUACAGUAUAUUAUGC